CGUUGCAUUAUGUCUCAGUAUCCAAUUUCAGGUUUAUAGGAAACAUCUGAGUAUUCUAUCUUCUAAUUGAAUAAUUGUACUUCUGUAAUAUUUCUUCUCAUAGUCUCGGUGUUGGGCCUAGGUAAACACAGUGAUUUUAGCUUCAGUGCUAGUGGAGAGAAAUUAUAUUCCCUCAUGUUUACUCAAUGUUAUUAUUCUCUUUGAGACGGUUCAAUGAGAAGUAGGACUUCCAACAAAAAUUUGUCCCUCCUGCAUCAUGCAAGUGUCUCUUCUUUACCUCAAUUAAUUUUUGAUAUGACAAAGACUCAAAUAAACUGCUGCUGAACUAAAUAGUGUAACAAGUAAAAUGAUAUUUGAUUAACUCCACACUGAAGACUUGUUUAUUAUUUUUUAACGUAUACAGAUCAAGGAAUUCAGAUGUACUUGCACAGAAGUUUCAGCUCAUUCUGCUUUUUCCUUAAACUCACUGAAGGAGAGAUUGUCUCCGGUGACAUCUUCAUGAUUUUAGAAAAGCUGAUGUAGACAGUACUUCUCAUAUUUUUCAUGUAUAACCUCAACUAUUUUGGAGUCAUUGUCAGCAAAAGUAUCUUACAGAAGCAUCAUUUAGGCUGUUCUGUUUUGUCAUGAAAGGAUAAUCAUGGCUUGAGAACAAGAUCCGCUUUCAUCCUUCCUCUAGCUUGUCAGUGCUGCAACUACUUCUUCCUUCAGGCUAAAAUACUGUGAUACAAAAAGGUCUUGAAAUGUAAUGUCAUACUGAAGCUAAAGAAUUAUACCUAUUCAAGAUAGGAUUUCAUAUGGGAUUCAAGCUUUUCAGUACUGAACUUCAAGGAGUGGAGUGUAACAAAGAGAAUCUGCAUCAUCACUCUUUCCCACCUGCCCUUAUGUGACAGAUAUUUAAAGAAAUACUGAGAAUCCUGCUGUCUACAGACUGAUUUGAUGGAGAGCAUUUGACUGGUCCUGGAGUGAGAAGAAGUUCUACUUCAGAUAUUGGUGGAAGGAAAC
ensembl:lncRNA